ACUGCUCAGUAACACGUGGACAACCUACCCUGAGGAGGGGGAUAACCCCGGGAAACUGGGGAUAAUAUCCCAUAGACUAUGGAUGCUGGAAUGCUCUGUAGUUAAAAGGCCCGCCGCCUCAGGAUGGGUCUGCGGCCGAUUAGGUUGUUGUUGGGGUAACGGCCCAACAAGCCUGUAAUCGGUACGGGUUGUGGGAGCAAGAGCCCGGAGAUGGAUUCUGAGACACGAAUCCAGGCCCUACGGGGCGCAGCAGGCGCGAAAACUUUACAAUGCGAGCAAUCGUGAUAAGGGAACUCCGAGUGCCCGUAAAAUCGGGCUGUCCGCCAGUGUAAAUAACUGGUGAAGAAAGGGCCGGGCAAGACCGGUGCCAGCCGCCGCGGUAAUACCGGCGGCUCGAGUGGUGGCCACUAUUACUGGGCUUAAAGCGUUCGUAGCUGGUCUGUUAAGUCUCUGGGGAAAUCUUCCGGCUUAACCGGAAGGCGUCUCAGGGAUACUGACAGACUAGGGACCGGAAGAGGUGAGAGGUACUCCAGGGGUAGGAGUGAAAUCCUGUAAUCCUUGGGGGACCACCUGUGGCGAAGGCGUCUCACCAGGACGGCUCCGACAGUGAGGAACGAAAGCUGGGGGAGCAAACCGGAUUAGAUACCCGGGUAGUCCCAGCUGUAAACGAUGCGCGUUAGGUGUAUCGGUGACCACGAGUCACCGAGGUGCCGAAGAGAAAUCGUGAAACGCGCCGCCUGGGAAGUACGGUCGCAAGGCUGAAACUUAAAGGAAUUGGCGGGGGAGCAC
rnacentral:rRNA from 1 species